rnacentral:other from 1 species
UCGGCCCUACUGUGUACGUGGUCAAACUGACUUAUAAUAUUCCAACACAAAUAACGUUGGGACCUAACUCUGUCGGUGGCGUGCAUGCCUUCUAGCAGAGGACGCACAAAGUCGAUGGGAGGGUUCCGCCCUGGAGGAAUCGGGGAUACGUUAUAGGUCAGUGAUAGCGGCAUGGUGGGGCUUAU